UCUCAGUACUCCGGAUUUUAUAAACACUAACCAAUAAUAUAAAAUGUGUCGCUAUCAAUUCUCUAUCCUCGUUUAUAAAACGAUUUCCGCAGAAGGAUCCCAUGUUCAUGAUGGAGGUAUAGUUGGAAUUUAUUGUUACCUUCUUGCAGUAAUUUUGUGUUGCAGUUAUUUAUUUGAUCCUGGGGCUCGGUUGUGGGGGCUUCAAUGAACAGUGCUUGGACUGUAGAUUCUGUUUCACCAACCUUCAAAAAUAUCAAUCUCCUCCAACUUCCUCACCAGCCAGGAUCAUCAGGAAACAAACAGGAAAUGAAGUGACUUUCACAAAAACAUGCCCUUGAACUUGAUCUCAAUCUAUCAUCACAGGGAACAAAAAAACACCCUGAUAAAAAAAGAAAAUCUCAAAUAAAUAUAAAAAACCAGGUUGAAGAGAAAAAAUAAAACAAAAUUCAACACAAUCACCUGACCUGACACCUGCUUUGCUCAUUUUAGGAGUGAAAAUCAGUAAACCACAGUGUUACACACUCCAUCCCUCUCAAAAAUGAAAAUAAAAGCUCUUCCAGAAAAAGAAAAGGUGCUGAGCUAGAACUGCAAAUCCAUGUUUUUAUCACCAAGUUCAUACUCCAUCCGAGUAUUAAAUUAUAUUUCAUUUUCUUUACAGAAACAGUAGGAUGAUCCCUUGAUUAUGGAUUGGGACAGGUAUCAUAACAAAAUGAGGAAUUAAAUAUAUAUCAUCAUAUCAGUAAUCCAUAUAUGGUAAAGAAGUAGAAAAACACAAAAUAGAAAAUGUAAGAGUUUGCAAUCUAGAAAUGAAAUAUCAGUAUUAUAUGCACAUACCUAAAUAUAGAGAGAGUUGAGGAGGAUUGAGAGUGAGUUUGUGAGUAGAGAGACAGAAACAGAGAGGUAAGGUAAGAGCUGAAAAUUGGAAUUGGAAUUGGAAUUAGAAGGGUUGAUGCAAAGCAAAGGAAACCAAAGUGUGAGAUUAGAUUAGAAAAUAGUAGAGAAAGAGAGAGAGAGA
rnacentral:lncRNA from 1 species